GCAAACUUGGUCAUUUAGAGGAAGUAAAAGUCGUAACAAGGUUUCCGUAGGUGAACCUGCGGAAGGAUCAUUGAAGAAUUCCAGCAGCUCGUGAGCUGUGCUGGUCCCCCCUCGGGGGGGGCAUGUGCACGUUCCCGUUCUGCCAUCCUCACAAACAAACCCCUGUGCACUCUGGGGGGUCGGGUCACUCUCCCUCCGAGCUCAGGCUCGGUCCGAUCCGUCCCUCUCUCCACACACACCUCUUUUUUAAAGUCCAGCAUGUGAUCGUCUAAAUGAAAAUUUUACAACUUUCAACAAUGGAUCUCUUGGCUCUCGCAUCGAUGAAGAACGCAGC
rnacentral:misc_RNA from 1 species